UGCCUUGUUGAUUUUACUAAAUGUAGGCACAUUUCAUUGUGACUGAAUUCAGCAACGAGGCUAUAGAAAACACAGGUUAUGCUUCCAUCACUGUAAGAUAAAGUUACACUGGUGACAAUGAGACCUGUAAUAACC